rnacentral:lncRNA from 1 species
AACAGAAGUCUUAGGUUCAUGCACAGACCAGUGGAAAACAAAGACUCAGAAGGAUCCAUCCAAGAAUUAGAACAUAGGAGUGGAGACGGCUGAAGAGCUGAAUGUCAGACUUCCAAGAUGCUGCCACAGCAUGGCUUGACAAGCAGUGCUAGGUCCACGACUGGGAUCCGAACCUGUGAACCCUGGGCUGCUGAAGCAGAGUGCAGGAACUUAACCACUACACCACUGGGCCAGCCCCAAAAUUUACUGAACGCUAUGCUGAUCUGGCUUAGGACAAAGGUAUAGAUAUUUAUAUUUAGAUAUAGAUUUAAUUAUAGAGACAAAAUAGAUAUAUAAAAAAAGGCAUAGGUAUAUUACCAUAUUAAGGAAAUAGCCAUCAAACCCUCUGAUCGUAUUUUCAUCAAAAUCAUGCAUGUCUAUUAUUCUAAUCGUCAAAUGGAGGAUGAUCUUCUGGUAACAGAGACGUGAAGAGGUUAUAGAGUUCCACUUUGCAAAGAAACAAGUACAAAGCAAAUGUACAGAGGGAAAAUGCCUAAAAUCACCAUCUGAAAAUUAAGAAAUGUUUAUUCUUGGAAAAUUGCUACAGUUUCAGCUGUGGUACCUGUACCUGUAGCUGUAUCUUGCAACCAAGAAGAAAAGGUCAAGAGAGUUUUUAUGAGUUUGUUCUGACAUUCAUGAGCUAC